CAGAUGAAGCUGGAAUUAAUGUGUAAUUUUAAUGCAAAUCAUUAGCAGGGCUAUUGUGAACACUGGAGCGUAAAAUUAUGAUUUUAUGUGUGGCGCGUGAUGUGUUCUUUGCUGUAACUUUAUUGUAUGGCUGUGAUUUUGGAGGUCAGCUUUCAAACAGCUGUGUGAGCCUCUCCUGCCUCUCUGCGCGUCGGAGAUGAGAGUGGAGCAACGGCUGAAUGCGGAAAUAAAACGCAAACAGUGCCACAUCUCCCACAUAAAAGGUGUGAAGAAUCUCCUUUCCCAAGUUUCAGCCUGCGUGAGACGGGAACAUUCACAUAGGCAUCCCCUGGUUUCUGCAGAGAAAAUAGAUGUAGUGCCAAGUGUUGCUGUGCUGCUUUGCUGAAAGAAAACAGGAAAAGAAGAGUGGAGGGAAAGAGUUAAGGACUACUCCAUCAACUUGCUUCAUCCAGAUUCUUGAUGAAGUGAUGAAGGGCAUCCAUAUGGUUUGAAAAGGUAGAGUCUCAUCAGGAAAAGAAUUGGAUCCAACAAGAUAGAGAGAAUUUGUUUUAAUGACCAAUCCUACCUAAUCUCAGAACUUUUUAAUUUCCCUCUCCUACCACACACAAUGACAUAAUGAAACUUUACACAAUUAUCUGGUAUAAGUUUGUAUUUUAUUUAUUCAAUUCCACCAGUGUCACAUAUAUCUGCAAUAACCUUUUGCAUUGGAUUAAUUUGAGAUGAGUGCUAAUCAAUUUAAUCUGAGCAUUUAUUGUGAGCACUAGCACAAGUAUUAAGUGUAGGCUGACAUGAAUUAACACAGACAACCUUACUUAAAUAUAUUUCUUUCAUAUUAAAGCAUCAACUGUUUUCUAUAAACAGUGACUAUGAACAGAAAUA